rnacentral:tRNA from 1 species
GCGCCCGUAGCUCAGCUGGAUAGAGCGCUGCCCUCCGGAGGCAGAGGUCUCAGGUUCGAUUCCUGUCGGGCGUACCA